GCCACCCGCCCUCGGGACGCGUCCUUGAGACUUCAGCCAAUGAGCAAGCGAAGAAAAGGGUGGAGGGGCGGGCGCUUCUAAUCUCAAGCCGCGAUUGGGGCGUGGGGGGAGAGGCGGGGGAAGGCGGAGGGAUGGGAACGGGGGAGAAGAAGGGCACCGCGGCGGGAGGGAAGAAACAGAGCGAGCUACGCUGCAGGAGCGCAGUUACCAGCCGGCUGCGAUCACGUGCCUGGGAGGAGGAGCUGAGACCUCAGGGGAGGGGCGCGCGGUAGCGUCCCGGGUCCCCUAGCAGGGCUCUAGAGACCACGUGAAGUCUCCUCGGUAUGUAGCACGCCGCCCCCACCACUCCCAGCCCCAUUCCCAGCGCCUCUCGGGCGGAGACCUGCGACCCGCAGCCGCUUUCCGGGGCCCCGGACACCCCUUCCCUACCCUCUCAAUCCCUGGCGGCUCCUCCCGUCUGACAGGUGGCGCGAACGCGUCCAGUGAGAGGAGUCUGAGGUUUGCCCUGACGCCUUCCACAGCCUUAGUAGAGAUUCCGUGUUUCUUCCGUCUAGGCGAGUCCCCAGCCACCAACAGAUCACGACCCGCUGCUCCCACUUUAUUUUCAGCCGGGUCUUCCACCUCUCCCUCACUACUUAUGAAAUCCUCCACGGAAUAGUUCUGUGACAGCAAACGGUGAAGCCAAGUCACCUCACUGGUCACGAAACCCUUUUUGUCUAUACUUAGGGAGCUUCUGGCGAGGCAGUAUUCUUUAAUCAAAUCAUAAACCAUAUUUUUUGGAGACUACACAUCAAUGGGUUGUACCUGUAGCCUGGUGUGUAAAGCUCAUUUAGUGAAACCUCAGAGCUAUUAUGUGUCAACUUUUCUACAGUAAGUAUUUUGCCACAUGACAAAUGUUCGGCAAAUGUCGAUGGAGUAACUCUGACAUGAUUUUCAGGCAGUUAGAGGGUCCAUGCAAUGCAAUCAGUUGCAAAUGAUGAGGUUAAAGUAAUGGUACUGUACACACAGUACUAUCCUUCCAACUAGUAGGUUAUUAACACCUAUGUACAUCUCCAGCUGCUUGGGGACAGUAGUGUCUCAAUCUCAUUUGCAGUGUUUUAGUGUAUUACAUUUUUUAACAUAAUUGAAUAGUUUCAAUGUGACGAACAUUUUGAAACAUAUACUCUAUGCUGGGCAUGGUGGCUCACACCUGUAAUCCCAGCACUUUGGGAGGCCGAAGCGGGCAGAUUACGAGGUCAGGAGUUCAAGACCAGCCUGGCCAACAUGGUGACACCCCAUCUCUACUAAAAAUACAAAAAUUAGCCAGGCAUGGUGGCGCCCGCCUGUAAUCCCAGCUACUCUGGAGGCUGAGGCAGGAGAAUUGCUUGAACCCGGGAGGCGGCGGUUGUGGUGAGUCAAGAUUGCGCCACUGCACUCAGCCUGGGGAACAGAGCGAGACUUUCUCAACAACAACAACAACAAACAUAUACUCUGAAGUACUUUAGAUUGGGUUUCAAUUUGAAAGAUUUUAUCGAAUUAGAGGACCUCCCAAUUUCUGUGAGAUAAAUUCUAGAGAAGAGCUUCCCAACAAUUUUGACAUUGAGGUUUAUUAUUUCUUGGAACCAAGGAACUCUUAUGAUGUCGUCGAUAGCAAGACUUCAGCCGUUUUCCUACUGAUAAUAUAAUAAUGAUAUAUUAAGCUAUGAAACCUGAUAGUUAACGAUGGCUCCAGGGAAGCUUUGUGAUAUAUAAAAAACCAACAUUAAUGCCAUCUCUAGUUUAGAUAAUACUCUGCCAGCUCUUUGCUAUGAAGCCCCAUAAAGGGAAUUUACUGUUGCCUCGCUGAAUAGUGGUUAGGAGGAUGAACUCAGAAGCAAGUACAGAUGGAUUCUGUUCUGCCUCCUCCUCACUGUGUCAUCUUAGUUACUAAUCUUUCUGAGCUUCGAGUUCCUAUUCUGUGAAAAGAUAGUAUCAUCUAUUUUCACAUGGUUGAAAGAUUAAGGAAAAAGGUAUGCAAUGUACAUAGUAGCAUGUGUUUGGCACGUAGUUAGCCCUCAGUAAAUAACUGCUAUUAUUUUCUACAUUGGAUGCUGGAGAGGGAUGAAAUAAAGUAUCUUUUAUUUCUAAAUCUUUUUUGCUAUUUGGUUUAUUUUCUUUCUUCGAUUUGGAAGCAGCAAGCUUGAAACCUGCCCAAAGUAUACACAACCAAGUCUUCC
rnacentral:lncRNA from 1 species